UGGGGAAUAUUGGACAAUGGGGGCAACCCUGAUCCAGCCAUGCCGCGUGUGUGAAGAAGGCCUUAGGGUCGUAAAGCUCUUUCGCCUGUGAUGAUAAUGACAGUAGCAGGUAAAGAAACCCCGGCUAACUCCGUGCCAGCAGCCGCGGUAAUACGGAGGGGGUUAGCGUUGUUCGGAAUUACUGGGCGUAAAGCGCGCGUAGGCGGAUUAGAAAGUUGGGGGUGAAAUCCCGGGGCUCAACCUCGGAACUGCCUCCAAAACUGCUAGUCUAGAGUUCGAGAGAGGUGAGUGGAAUUCCGAGUGUAGAGGUGAAAUUCGUAGAUAUUCGGAGGAACACCAGUGGCGAAGGCGGCUCACUGGCUCGAUACUGACGCUGAGGUGCGAAAGUGUGGGGAGCAAACAGGAUUAGAUACCCUGGUAGUCCACACCGUAAACGAUGAAUGCCAGUCGUCGGGUAGCAUGCUAUUCGGUGACACACCUAACGGAUUAAGCAUUCCGCCUGGGGAGUACGGUCGCAAGAUUA
rnacentral:rRNA from 1 species